AUUAGAUACCCUGGUAGUCCGCACGGUAAACGAUGAAUACUAGGUGUCCGGGCUAAAUGAGGCCUGGGUGCCACAGCGAAAGCGUUAAGUAUUCCACCUGGGGAGUACGCCGGCAACGGUGAAACUCAAAGGAAUUGACGGGGGCCCGCACAAGCGGAGGAACAUGUGGUUUAAUUCGAUGAUACGCGAGGAACCUUACCCGGGCUCAAACGCGGUAUGACGGAUCUUUGAAAGGAGGUCUUUCUACGGACAUACCGCGAGGUGCUGCAUGGUUGUCGUCAGCUCGUGUCGUGAGAUGUUGGGUUAAGUCCCGCAACGAGCGCAACCCUUAUUGUUAGUUGCCAGCAUUAAGUUGGGCACUCUAGCAAGACUGCCGGUGACAAACCGGAGGAAGGUGGGGAUGACGUCAAAUCAUCAUGCCCCUUAUGACCUGGGCUACACACGUGCUACAAUGGACGGUACAACGGGUCGCAAGACCGCGAGGUUUAGCAAAUCUCUUAAAGCCGUUCUCAGUUCGGAUUGUAGGCUGCGACUCGCCUACAUGAAGUCGGAAUCGCUAGUAAUCGCGGAUCAGCAUGCCGCGGUGAAUACGUUCCCGGGCCUUGUACACACCGCCCGUCACACCAUGGGAGUUGGAAGCGCCCGAAGUCGAUGACCUAACCGAAAGGGAGGAGCUGCCGAAGGCGGGGCCGGUAACUGGGGUGAAGUCGUAACAAGGUAAC
rnacentral:rRNA from 1 species